AGAGGCCCUCCGCGGCCGGGAUGGAAUUCUUGCCUCAUCGCCACAGUGAUGAAGCAAGCAUUCCACCAGGCCGCUCACACUGCCUGC
rfam:Myotis brandtii contig247925, whole genome shotgun sequence.